ACNUGCAAGUCGAGCGGUAGAGAGAAGCUUGCUUCUCUUGAGAGCGGCGGACGGGUGAGUAAUGUCUAGGAAUCUGCCUGGUAGUGGGGGAUAACGUUCGGAAACGGACGCUAAUACCGCAUACGUCCUACGGGAGAAAGCAGGGGACCUUCGGGCCUUGCGCUAUCAGAUGAGCCUAGGUCGGAUUAGCUAGUUGGUGAGGUAAUGGCUCACCAAGGCGACGAUCCGUAACUGGUCUGAGAGGAUGAUCAGUCACACUGGAACUGAGUCACGGUCCAGACUCCUACGGGAGGCAGCAGUGGGGAAUAUUGGACAAUGGGCGAAAGCCUGAUCCAGCCAUGCCGCGUGUGUGAAGAAGGUCUUCGGAUUGUAAAGCACUUUAUUUUGGGAGGAAGGGCAGUUACCUAAUACGUGAUUGUUUUGACGUUACCUACAUAAUAAGCACCGGCUAACUCUGUGCCAGCAGCCGCGGUAAUACAGAGGGUGCAAGCGUUAAUCGGAAUUACUGGGCGUAAAGCGCGCGUAGGUGGUUAGUUAAGUUGGAUGUGAUAUCCCCGGGCUCAAUCUGGGAACUGCAUUCAAAACUGACUGACUAGAGUAUGGUAUAGGGUGGUGGAAUUUCCUGUGUAGCGGUGAAAUGUUUAAAUAUAGGAAGUAUCACCAGUGGCGAAGGCUACCACCUGAACUGAUACUGACACUGAGGUCCGAAAGCGUGGGGAGCAAACAGGAAUAUAUACCCUGGUAGUCCACGCCGUAUACGAUGUCAACUAGCCGUUGGGAGCCUUGAGCUCUUAGUGGUGCAGCUAACGCAUUAAGUUGAUCGCCUGGGGGAGUACGGCCCGAAGGUUAAAACUCCAAUGAAUUGACGGGGGGUCCGUACAAGCGGUGGAGCAUGUGGUUUAAUUC
rnacentral:rRNA from 1 species